AUGGAUGUACAAAAAAAAAUUCCUUUCAAUGCUGUCAAUGAUGAUGACGUCAAGCAGUUUUGUGAAGCCCUUGGUCGGUUUGGUCCUAAUUGGAAGCCACCUUCACAAUAUAUGAUCCGAGAGAAGAUGUUGCUGCAAGAAGUGGAAAGAACUAAGGAUUUGAUGAAGCCACAUGAGCUUGAGAGGGUGGAAACCGGCUGCUCUAUCAUGACCGAUGCUUGGACCGACAAGAAAAGAAGAAGUAUUAUGAAUUUAUGCGUUCAUUGCAGGUUAGGGACUGCCUUUCUUGAAUCAAAGGAGGCGUCGGCUGAUGCACACACAAGUCUAUACAUCUUCAAUUAUGUAGUUGGGUGCAUUGAGAAAAUUGGUGCUGAAAAUGUUGUGCAAGUGGUCACGGACAAUGCUUUAAAUAACAUGGGGGCAAAGGAUAUGCUCAAAGGAAAAUGGCCAAAAAUCUUUUGGACCUCAUGUGCAACUCACACCCUCAACUUGAUUGUAGAAGCAAUUGCGAAGCUAAAGCAAUUUGGUCCUACCAUCACUAAAGCCAAGCAAAUGACAAUUUUUCUUUAUGCACAUCAUAAAACACUGUCCUUGAUGAGGUCUUUCACCAAGAAAAGAGACAUUGUUAGACCGGGGGUGACACGAUUUGCUUCGGCCUUUCUUACCUUGCAAAGUUUGGUUUCUAAAAGGAAGGAACUAAGAGCAAUGGUUUGUAGUGAUGAAUGGGAAGCAUGCAAGCACACAAAAAAGGUGAAAGGAAAGUCGGCUCAUGCCACAAUAAUGAGUAGGGGAUUUUGGAAAAAUGUCUCUCUUUGCAUCAAGGUUUUCGAGCCACUAGUGAAGGUUCUUCGGUUGGCAGAUAGUGAUGAUCCAUCUAUGGCAUCUAUGUAUGGAGAAUUAAUAAGUGCAAAAAAGGAAAUCAAGGCUGUUGUUGAAAAUUCAGAAAAAGACUAUUUGCUGAUCCCUAAUCCAUGGAUAGCAAGAUGA
rnacentral:rRNA from 1 species